CUCGGUGUGCGCGCUCCCGCGCUGCGGGCCGUGCGGGUGGGAACCGCGCCGCGGCGGUGGGCGGCAGCCGGGCUUUGCCCACCGGGGCGCGGCGCCCAUCCGGUGCUUUAAUCCGUUGCGUUGCACGCCGCUGCCCGCUUUUCGUGCUCUCUCUGCUGCUGAAGGCUCCGGCAGAGGAGGCAGACCUGGAGGCCCGGAUUGUGCGGCGGUACCUCGGCGGAAAAACGCGCCGCUGUCGUCUGGAAUGGAUGCUGAGAGGACGGCUGCAUCGCCUGCACCGAGGAGGACAGGAAUCCGGGUGAUCCCAAGUGUUUGUGAUGGAGCGGUGCAGAGAAACUUAGAUCUGGUUGUCUGUGAAGGUGAAAUCCGUAAUCCAGGCUUUGUGUUUGAAGUGCUUGUCUCCUGUGCUGUCUGCAGCACAGCGAGUCCUGCAGUGCUGCUGGCAGUGCGGUGUGUACGUGUGUGGUGGCUGCCUGGUAACUGCAUGUGUGUGCAGUGAUUUGUUUUAGGCCUUCCGUCUCAAAGCUGCAUGAAAGCAUCAGGAAAAACCACUGACAACAGCGAUAUUUAGGUGGCCUUAAGGCUUUGACAGGAAAUAUCUCUCUCAGUCUUUUAAAUAUUGCAGCAUCGUUGUACUCAGCUUUUAUUUCCUCGUGUUGCAGUGAGUAUCAGAAGCAGAUGGGUGAAGCGGUAUAAAUCCCAUCAGUGCAAGGACAAAAAAAAAAUCCAGAUACCCCUAUAGAGUGUGAACUUAACCUUGUGUGUCUUGUCAUCCUUGUCACUUUGGAACUCGGGGUAUCCCUUAUUUCUCUAAGGGGAACUUUGUGGUGAUCUCAUCGCUGUACCUUCAGGAAGGAAGAGUUUUUUCCUUGCACUCAAGGGAUUAACAACUUCAGCAGAACACCGUGUCAGACUGCAGCAGAGCAGUCUUGCUGCUGCUGCUGGCAUCGCAAGGCUGCGCUGGGUGCCAGUCCUUUCCAACUGGCACCUGGAAGAAAAAAGCACAAUGCAGUUCCACUUCAUUUGGUCAGUCCCUGGCAGGAAAGUACUCCUUUCCAUCCCACUGUUCAGUGGUGUUGACUUCCAAAUCUUUUUCACUUUCAGUGACAACAGAAAUUAAAUGUUCAUUUUUACUUUUUCCACCGCUGCUCUGGAGAAAAUUUCAGACAUGUUUUGGUCCUCUGCUCUUUGAUUUCUCAUAACAGAGUUUUAGAGGGCUAUGUACUUCACUAGUCCACUGAGCUGCUGGACAUCCAAGGAGGAGUGAAAUUACCUUUUGCAAAACAACAUUUGGAUCACACAGCGUUUGGUCUAAUUUGGCUAUAGCAUCGCUGUUCUUUGAUGGGGAACAUGUCUGCUGGUGGUUGGAGGAUUGCUGAGCUCUUUUGGCCUGUGAGCCACUGCUGCAAACUGCUCAAUUUCUUUGCUUUUGAAACUGAACUAUUCCCACUGCAAAUUGACAUCUGUCCUCAUUUAGGUGAUUGUUUUAGCUUGGGAGCUGUCUCUCCAAACUAAACAGUUCUAGAUCUAUUAUAGUAGUUUUGACUAAGAACUUUCCUUUUUUCCAUCUGCUAUCAGCACCAUUUUCCUGAUUCCCUGUCCAGCAUGUGGAUAUCUUAUACAUCUUAUAUCAACAGGUAGAAUGUAUCUGGCUUUCUCUUCCACAGAUUUGAUAAAGUGUCAUAGACAAUCCCCCCUCACCUUUGAGUGGCCUUUGUUGCAGUGGAAUGCAACAGCAUGCUGUGAUGCACGCAGCGAUCCUGAUGAAUGACCUGUGGAAUGGUAGUUUGUCACAGCAGUGCGUGUUGGGGCUUGAAGCAUACAGUCCUGCUCUUCUUUAACCUGAGUUUCACACGCAGAACUGAAUUUCAACACCUCAAUCUGUGCAACUUUUUCACUUUGAAGUAAUCCCCAAAUCCCCUCAUAAAACUAGUCUUUAGAAUCCACGCUGGCCAAACUUUGUGUUUCUGGUUGGGGAGUGACAGUUCCUAUGGAGUCAUGUGUAGCAUUUGCCGAAUCCUUAAUCUGGUACAGUAUUUUGCUAACCUUCUUUCCACUAUGUCGUAGCCUGAGGUAGUUGAACAGUUCAGUUGGUGGCCUGUAUUCUGAAAAUGGGAGGCACAGGAAUUGAACCAACAGUUAGUCCUUGUUUUCCCUAGUUUUAACAGGCUUGACUUUGAAGCCAGCAUUUAAUGUGUGAGUCACUAUACUGGUAAGUACUAUGUUUGCACCAUACAAAUGCAGCAAAAGUGUCUGUCUCUUGCUUACAUGAGGUUUCCAGAGAUUGGUGGCUUUAUUUUGUGUAUAUGGAUACAAAGAAACAUAAACCUUUGUGCUGUAUAAAUGUGAUUUCCGCUUUUGGCAUAGUCCUUCUUGGUCCUGUCCCUACUGUUCACAUUCGGUGUACUUCUCUCACGAAGUUCAGAUGUUGUUAUGGGUCCCUAGUAACCUAACUUGCAUGGAUCUCUUUUCUAACGCCCUGACUUCAUAGGAGUUUCAAAGUGCCUUACUACAGUGGACUGUGAAAGCAUGGUGUGGGCUCACAGCAGUUUGGUUCUUAACCCUUUGUGCUGUGCCAUACACUGGCUCUGCUGCAUGAUUCACUCUGAUUAACUUCCUUUACAGGUGGAAAUUCUUCUUGCCAUGAAAUACACUGCUCUCUCAACACAUGACAAAGCAUUCUUCAUUAAAUAGGGUGUGAUUGUCUCACUCAGAGAGGAGCUACAUCAUUCCGCCUUUUCCUGAGCAUGACUUGAAUGUCGGAAUCAGCCCAACACAAUACAAGAACAAAGCCAUGGAAUCAAAAAUUUAGGAAAAAAUAAGUGUCUUACCUCAUUUUUUUUCCUAGCAAGGAGUUCUGCCUUAUGUGGUCUGGGGUAGAGCUGUUUCUCAUACUCAUAGCAACAUCUGUCUGGUCACUGUCAUUCACAUCAAGUAGCAGAGCAAUUUGCUCAUCAACUCAAAAAGAGACACAGAAUGAGACAUUUUCAUGAUUUUUUUCAUGAAUUUUUCCUAUGUUGACAGACCUAAUUCCUGGCUUUGUACUCUCUGGGGCAAUCAUUAAAUGAGUAGUCAAUUAAUCAAUCCUUACAAGACACGCAGACUAAAAUGUUCAAAUGCAACUACCUGAACGUGAAUGGAAGGCACUAAUGUGAAAAUGCAACAACCCUUUGCACAGUGCCCAGCGUCAAUCUCGUGCUUGCUUAUCUCACAGGAAAGUCACACCAUGGAUUUGAAUUCAUUAUUUAAUCUAGAUAUUCUCAGUGAGACACUGUCUGUCAGAAGUGUCUUUGUAAAUCAGUCUACAGGAUAUUGGAAAGGGAAGAAAUUGAUAAGAACAAGGAGACAUCUUGAAGGAAGAACCAGGAAACAGCAGAAUGGUUGGAUGUUGAGGAUCCUCCACCUCUACCAGUCAGAAUUCCCUGACCUCGAGUCUGUCUUUGUUUCAUGAACUAAGCAAAAAAAAAAAAAAAAAAAAAAAAAAAAAAAA